ensembl:misc_RNA 7SK 7SK RNA
GGAGAGGCCACGGGCUGUCUGUGACCCCUGUCACCCCAGUGAUCGCCAGGCGCCAGGGCUGACUCUGCGGAUCUGGCUGGCGGGCGGGCGUCCCUGCCUCCCUCACCCUCCACCUGCGUCCCUCCCGAAGCUGCGCACCGCGUGGAAGAGGACGACCUUCCUGGGUGGAGGAGAGGACCUCCUCGGGUCAAGCUCCCACGUAGGAGAGGGCGACCUUCCCGGGUGGAGGAGAGGACCUCCUCGGGUCAAGCUCCCACGUAGGAGUCGCUGAGUUCCCUGCUGGAACCCCCAGACACUCUCUCAGGGCAGGGUUUUCUUUUUUUUAAGGAAUUUUAUUUGUUUCUUCAUUUAUAA